rnacentral:rRNA from 1 species
GGUUAAGCGACUAAGCGUACACGGUGGAUGCCCUGGCAGUCAGAGGCGAUGAAGGACGUGCUAAUCUGCGAUAAGCGUCGGUAAGGUGAUAUGAACCGUUAUAACCGGCGAUUUCCGAAUGGGGAAACCCAGUGUGUUUCGACACACUAUCAUUAACUGAAUCCAUAGGUUAAUGAGGCGAACCGGGGGAACUGAAACAUCUAAGUACCCCGAGGAAAAGAAAUCAACCGAGAUUCCCCCAGUAGCGGCGAGCGAACGGGGAGGAGCCCAGAGCCUGAAUCAGUGUGUGUGUUAGUGGAAGCGUCUGGAAAGGCGCGCGAUACAGGGUGACAGCCCCGUACACAAAAAUGCACAUAUUGUGAGCUCGAUGAGUAGGGCGGGACACGUGGUAUCCUGUCUGAAUAUGGGGGGCCCAUCCUCCAAGGCUAAAUACUCCUGACUGACCGAUAGUGAACCAGUACCGUGAGGGAAAGGCGAAAAGAACCCCGGCGAGGGGAGUGAAAAAGAACCUGAAACCGUGUACGUACAAGCAGUGGGAGCACGCUUAGGCGUGUGACUGCGUACCUUUUGUAUAAUGGGUCAGCGACUUAUAUUCUGUAGCAAGGUUAACCGAAUAGGGGAGCCGAAGGGAAACCGAGUCUUAACUGGGCGUUAAGUUGCAGGGUAUAGACCCGAAACCCGGUGAUCUAGCCAUGGGCAGGUUGAAGGUUGGGUAACACUAACUGGAGGACCGAACCGACUAAUGUUGAAAAAUUAGCGGAUGACUUGUGGCUGGGGGUGAAAGGCCAAUCAAACCGGGAGAUAGCUGGUUCUCCCCGAAAGCUAUUUAGGUAGCGCCUCGUGAAUUCAUCUCCGGGGGUAGAGCACUGUUUCGGCAAGGGGGUCAUCCCGACUUACCAACCCGAUGCAAACUGCGAAUACCGGAGAAUGUUAUCACGGGAGACACACGGCGGGUGCUAACGUCCGUCGUGAAGAGGGAAACAACCCAGACCGCCAGCUAAGGUCCCAAAGUCAUGGUUAAGUGGGAAACGAUGUGGGAAGGCCCAGACAGCCAGGAUGUUGGCUUAGAAGCAGCCAUCAUUUAAAGAAAGCGUAAUAGCUCACUGGUCGAGUCGGCCUGCGCGGAAGAUGUAACGGGGCUAAACCAUGCACCGAAGCUGCGGCAGCGACGCUUAUGCGUUGUUGGGUAGGGGAGCGUUCUGUAAGCCUGCGAAGGUGUGCUGUGAGGCAUGCUGGAGGUAUCAGAAGUGCGAAUGCUGACAUAAGUAACGAUAAAGCGGGUGAAAAGCCCGCUCGCCGGAAGACCAAGGGUUCCUGUCCAACGUUAAUCGGGGCAGGGUGAGUCGACCCCUAAGGCGAGGCCGAAAGGCGUAGUCGAUGGGAAACAGGUUAAUAUUCCUGUACUUGGUGUUACUGCGAAGGGGGGGACGGAGAAGGCUAUGUUGGCCGGGCGACGGUUGUCCCGGUUUAAGCGUGUAGGCUGGUUUUCCAGGCAAAUCCGGAAAAUCAAGGCUGAGGCGUGAUGACGAGGCACUACGGUGCUGAAGCAACAAAUGCCCUGCUUCCAGGAAAAGCCUCUAAGCAUCAGGUAACAUCAAAUCGUACCCCAAACCGACACAGGUGGUCAGGUAGAGAAUACCAAGGCGCUUGAGAGAACUCGGGUGAAGGAACUAGGCAAAAUGGUGCCGUAACUUCGGGAGAAGGCACGCUGAUAUGUAGGUGAAGUCCCUUGCGGAUGGAGCUGAAAUCAGUCGAAGAUACCAGCUGGCUGCAACUGUUUAUUAAAAACACAGCACUGUGCAAACACGAAAGUGGACGUAUACGGUGUGACGCCUGCCCGGUGCCGGAAGGUUAAUUGAUGGGGUCAGCGCAAGCGAAGCUCUUGAUCGAAGCCCCGGUAAACGGCGGCCGUAACUAUAACGGUCCUAAGGUAGCGAAAUUCCUUGUCGGGUAAGUUCCGACCUGCACGAAUGGCGUAAUGAUGGCCAGGCUGUCUCCACCCGAGACUCAGUGAAAUUGAACUCGCUGUGAAGAUGCAGUGUACCCGCGGCAAGACGGAAAGACCCCGUGAACCUUUACUAUAGCUUGACACUGAACAUUGAGCCUUGAUGUGUAGGAUAGGUGGGAGGCUUUGAAGUGUGGACGCCAGUCUGCAUGGAGCCGGCCUUGAAAUACCACCCUUUAAUGUUUGAUGUUCUAACGUGGACCCGUGAUCCGGGUUGCGGACAGUGUCUGGUGGGUAGUUUGACUGGGGCGGUCUCCUCCUAAAGAGUAACGGAGGAGCACGAAGGUUGGCUAAUCCUGGUCGGACAUCAGGAGGUUAGUGCAAUGGCAUAAGCCAGCUUGACUGCGAGCGUGACGGCGCGAGCAGGUGCGAAAAGCAGGUCAUAGUGAUCCGGUGGUUCUGAAUGGAAGGGCCAUCGCUCAACGGAUAAAAGGUACUCCGGGGAUAACAGGCUGAUACCGCCCAAGAGUUCAUAUCGACGGCGGUGUUUGGCACCUCGAUGUCGGCUCAUCACAUCCUGGGGCUGAAGUAGGUCCCAAGGGUAUGGCUGUUCGCCAUUUAAAGUGGUACGCGAGCUGGGUUUAGAACGUCGUGAGACAGUUCGGUCCCUAUCUGCCGUGGGCGCUGGAGAACUGAGGGGGCUGCUCCUAGUACGAGAGGACCGGAGUGGACGCAUCACUGGUGUUCGGGUUGUCAUGCCAAUGGCACUGCCCGGUAGCUAAAUGCGGAAGAGAUAAGUGCUGAAAGCAUCUAAGCACGAAACUUGCCCCGAGAUGAGUUCUCCCUGACCCUUUAAGGGUCCUGAAGGAACGUUGAAGACGACGACGUUGAUAGGCCGGGUGUGUAAGCGCAGCGAUGCGUUGAGCUAACCGGUACUAAUGAACCGUGAGGCUUAACCUU